UACGGGGGGGGCAAGCGUUGUUCGGAAUUACUGGGCGUAAAGGGCUCGUAGGUGGCCAACUAAGUCAGACGUGAAAUCCCUCGGCUUAACCGGGGAACUGCGUCUGAUACUGGAUGGCUAGAGUUUGGGAGAGGGAUGCGGAAUUCCAGGUGUAGCAGUGAAAUGCGUAGAGAUGUGGAGGAAUACCGAUGGCGAAGGCAGCCUCCUGGGCCAACACUGACGCUCAUGCACGAAAGCGUGGGGAGCAAACAGG
rnacentral:rRNA from 1 species